rnacentral:rRNA from 1 species
CGACGGGUGAGUAACGCGUGGGUAACUGCCCUGUACAGGGGGAUAACGGCUGGAAACGGCUGCUAAUACCGCAUAAGCGCACGAGGAGACAUCUCCUGUGUGAAAGACUCCGGUGGUACAGGAUGGGCCCGCGUCUGAUUAGCUGGUUGGCAGGGUAACGGCCUACCAAGGCAACGAUCAGUAGCCGGUCUGAGAGGAUGAACGGCCACAUUGGAACUGAGACACGGUCCCAAACUCCUACGGGAGGCAGCAGUGGGGAAUAUUGCACAAUGGGGGAAACCCUGAUGCAGCAACGCCGCGUGAGUGAAGAAGUAUUUCGGUAUGUAAAGCUCUAUCAGCAGGGAAGAUAAUGACGGUACCUGACUAAGAAGCUCCGGCUAAAUACGUGCCAGCAGCCGCGGUAAUACGUAUGGAGCAAGCGUUAUCCGGAUUUACUGGGUGUAAAGGGUGCGUAGGUGGCAGUGCAAGUCAGAUGUGAAAGGCCGGGGCUCAACCCCGGAGCUGCAUUUGAAACUGCAUAGCUAGAGUACAGGAGAGGCAGGCGGAAUUCCUAGUGUAGCGGUGAAAUGCGUAGAUAUUAGGAGGAACACCAGUGGCGAAGGCGGCCUGCUGGACUGUUACUGACACUGAGGCACGAAAGCGUGGGGAGCAAACAGGAUUAGA